UACGUAGGGGGCAAGCGUUGUUCGGAAUUACUGGGCGUAAAGGGCGCGUAGGCGGCCCAGCAAGUCGGGAGUGAAAGCCCGGGGCUCAACCCCGGAAUGGCUUUCGAAACUGCUGAGCUAGAGUACAGAAGGGGCAACCGGAAUUCCCAGUGUAGCGGUGAAAUGCGUAGAUAUCAAGAGGAACACCUGAGGUGAAGACGGGUUGCUGGGCUGACACUGACGCUGAGGCGCGAAAGCCAGGGGAGCAAACGGG
rnacentral:rRNA from 1 species